GUAGUGCCUGGAUGAUCAUAGCACAAUUCAUGUUCUUGCAAUUUGAAAUUUGUAGGCCCCCAAUUUAGAAGGUCCCGUACUUGGAAAUGUUAUUAGCAAGACAAUUGAAUAAUCCUGAGAUAUAUUAUUGAAGUUUGAAAUUUGUAGCCUUACAAAACAAGAUUUUCUCCAAGUGUUUCCCACAAACACUCCAUUAAUCCCAAUAGUUUAAAAACCCUUUUACGAAUGAUGUGGGAAAGAAGUAACACAAGGUUUUAGAACAAUAUACUUUUAAGGAGUUGAAUUUAAACAACAAAGCUCAAAAGCAAAAGAAUAUGGAAGUUGAAGCUUAAAACUUGAAAGAUCUUGAUGGGUAUUACAUUUAAUCCUUCAUCCCAUGUUUGUAGACAUGUAAAAAUCUUGUUUUAUAGCCCUUCGUCUCAUUUUGGUCAUUCCAGUGCAGUAAAUGCGUCUCUAACAGUUGAAACGAAGUAGCUGUUGCAUAUUUUAGAAUUUAAAUUUCGCGACGAAGGAGUCAACUUAUUUUGAAUCUAGGGAUUCGAUUUAUUUUGUCAAGGAGUUGACUAAUCCUUUUAUCUGCAUGACAACUGGAGUUCAGGGUCGAAUCAUUUAUUUGAGGUCGCCUCAAGACCUUCAAUGUUUUUAAGAUUUUCACGUGUUAAGCAUCUCAAACUCAUCCAAAACCCUUUCUAACUCCAAAAUAAUUUAGAUAAUGAACAUUUAAUCACAAAACAAAUAUCAAAGACUUAUUUUGGAGCUUUUUAAUCUCAAUCAUUACAGCAGGAAAAAUGUAAAACUUUUAAAACACUUGUACUCCUUUUGUAAUGAAUUAUUCAUCAAAUACUAAUGACAAAAUCAUGUUACAUUCUCAUAUUUCAUUAAGCUAUCCAAUAGCUAACACCAAAGGAUAUUGACAAUUCAAAGUACAAGUUUAUCAUUUGCUAGCCACUCACUAAUUUUGUAUUGUGAAAUAUCAAACAUAUAUCACUGUAAAACACAACCAACAAAAGCAUCAUAGACAAUAUCAAAACUAAACCAUAGGUCUAAUUUCUCUUUCAUUUGAAGCAUUUUGAGGCUUCUUGAAUUCAACCCUUAUUCUUUUGUUAUGUUUACAGUUAAAAUAGAAUACAAGUAUCUUGGCAAACUAACCCCAAGGGGUUGGCCUAGUGGUCAAGACCUAGGCCUGGGGUGUGCUCCCUUCAAAACCUUCUAAGUGCAAACAAUUUCUGGGACUUUGCCCCGACCCCCCACUAGUGGAUGGUGGGAUUGGUCUUCCGGAGUAGUCGGUCUAGUGGGCCAGAUGCUGAGUUAUCAAAAAAAAA